rnacentral:misc_RNA from 1 species
CGUACAAAUUGGACUUUGGCAUUCUGCGGUCAAAGCAGGAGAGGAACGGAGCAGAAAUGGAUGGCGUUGGAUUCUCUUCCAUGAAGAUUGAAUCGCGUCACGCGUUUCUUAUUCGUUUCUCAGUUUCCUCUCUGAUUUCGCAAUAUGAGUGCUGCUGAUGGGUGCGUCCGUGUCCUGAUACGUUUGGGUUGAGAAUUUAAAAUUGAUAAAAACCGAAAUCGUCGAGAACUGGUCAACGGCUUGAGCUUCACUGCUCGCUGGUUUUCAGUUUCUCCGUUUUGAUUUUUUUCGAUUUCUCCCUAAACUGGAUGUGGUCACCUGAAGUUGGUGUAGGCGAUUUCAAACCUUUAGAUAUUUCUCCUCAGGAGCUCUCUCUAUCAGGCCAAUUUCUUUUUUCUUCUCCAAAUGAUCGGCGACGGUCUGGGAAAAAGUUGUGCAUUGUGGUGGAGCUGGUUGAAAAUGAAAUAACCGAAUCGGUUUCUCAAGCCCUGCUGCGAAUUGGUGUUUCUCGAAACGCAAACAGUUCUGCAGUGGUUGUUGCUCAAGAUUCCUUUUAUGUGUUUGGUUUUGGAUUUUUCUUGGCUUCAUUGGUCACGAUGUUUGAACUGAGAAUCGAGAAAGGAAAUGGCACAAAAAAACUGGUGGAGAUAGAGCUAUGUACUGAGUUUCUGAGAAACAUCGUUUUCGGGGUUUUGAUGAUCGUCUAGAACAGCAGAAAACCCGAUUUUCUGCAAUACAAGACUUUAGUUUUGGAUCUCAAAUCAGA